UACAGAGGGGGCAAGCGUUGUUCGGAAUUACUGGGCGUAAAGGGCGCGUAGGCGGCCGCCUAAGUCAGACGUGAAAUCCCUCGGCUCAACCGGGGAACUGCGUCUGAUACUGGGUGGCUUGAAUCCGGAAGAGGCGAGUGGAAUUCCCGGUGUAGCGGUGAAAUGCGCAGAUAUCGGGAGGAACACCAAUGGCGAAGGCAGCUCGCUGGGACGGUACUGACGCUGAGACGCGAAAGCGUGGGGAGCAAACAGG
rnacentral:rRNA from 1 species